GAUGAAGAACGUAGCGAAAUGCGAUAAGUAAUGUGAAUUGCAGAAUUCAGUGAAUCAUCGAAUCUUUGAACGCACAUUGCGCCCGCCAGUAUUCUGGCGGGCAUGCCUGUCCGAGCGUCAUUUCAACCCUCGAACCCCUCCGGGGGGUCGGCGUUGGGGACCUCGGGAGCCCCUAAGACGGGAUCCCGGCCCCGAAAUACAGUGGCGGUCUCGCCGCAGCCUCUCCUGCGCAGUAGUUUGCACAACUCGCACCGGGAGCGCGGCGCGUCCACGUCCGUAAAACACCCAACUUCUGAAAUGUUGACCUCGGAUCAGGUGGGAAUACCCGCUGAACUUAAGCAUAUCAAUAAGCGGAGGA
rnacentral:misc_RNA from 1 species